rnacentral:rRNA from 1 species
UACGUAGGGGGCAAGCGUUGUCCGGAUUUACUGGGCGUAAAGGGCUCGUAGGCGGCCAACUAAGUCGGACGUGAAAUCCCUCGGCUUAACCGGGGAACUGCGUCCGAUACUGGAUGGCUUGAGUUUGGGAGAGGGAUGCGGAAUUCCAGGUGUAGCGGUGAAAUGCGUAGAUAUCUGGAGGAACACCGGUGGCGAAGGCGGCAUCCUGGACCAACACUGACGCUGAUGAGCGAAAGCCAGGGGAGCAAACGGG